AGAUGUGUCAUCCGAAACUAAGAUGAGCUCGCGUUGCUAUCAAGCGUCAGUUGGUGAGUGUAAAAGCUUUACCAAGGCUUACGACGGAUACCUGGUCUGAGAGGACGAUCAGCCACAACUGGGACUGAAGACACGGCCCAAACUCCUACGGGAGGCUGCAGCAGGGAAUAUUUGUGCACAUUGAAUCGAAGAGUUUGACACACGCGACAUCCGCGUGUGGGAUGACGGAUCUAGGUUUGUAAGACCACUUUCAGAGAGGGAAGAAAUAUGACUGGUACCUCCACAAGAAGCCCCGGUACAACUACAGUGACCACGCAGUCCUGCAGUGUAAUACUGUAUGUGGGGCGAGCGUAUGUCCGGAUUCUAUUGGGCGUAAUACGAGCUCGUACGCGGUUCAACAAAGUCGGAUAAUCAAACAGUUCAGGGCUCAAUCCCUGUAAAAUGUCUAUCGAUACUGUAUGUGACUACGAUACGGACAACAGGUGAAUGGAAUUCCGAC
rnacentral:rRNA from 1 species